rnacentral:sRNA from 1 species
AAAAAAAAAAAUAUGUAACAUGACAUAUAAUCAUAUAAAUGUAUAUUUAUGUUGAGUUUGUCAAAAUCUAUUGAUCAAACUAAUAUUUGUUUUGAAAAUCAUUAAAACUCCUACAGAGUUAUCAUAAGUAAUUCGAUGACAAUAAUCUAUGAUAAAAUAUCACUAGAUAAUGAUAUUUAUAAGUCUAUAUGAAAACCAUAUAAUUUUGAUCAUUAAGAUUAUGGUUAUUAAUUCCAACGAGAUAUUGUAUUUGAUUGAAAAUCAUCUCCUGAAGAAGAUGUUUCCGAGGGGGAGAUUGAAUGAUAUGCGUGGAUGUACCCUUUUUCCUUAUGAUAGUUUUUAUCCCACAUGAUUUUUCUAUGACAAGGUUUUUAACGAGACAUUAAAGAACACGCAAAUAAUACACUUGAUGAAUAUUAGGAAAUUCUAUCAAUCAUCCAAUGAAUAUUAUACACUAAUGAUAUUUAGAGAAAUAAAUAAGAUGGUCAAGAUGAAUCAUCUAAAAGAUUCAUGAGCAGCAGAAGAAUGGCGUUGUACUUUAUCCAGAAAUUUGUUCAAGAGAAGAAUUGGCAGACUUAUUCUCAAAUACUGUUUAAUCAUGUAGAGAUUUUACCAAUUCAUGAAGCUAGCCGCGAGUGUGUAUGGCUAAGAUCCAUAGUUCACCAUAUACAAGAAGACUGUGGUAUGUAUGCAGAAAAAAGACUCCAACAAUUAUGUACGAAGACAAUGCAGCAUGCAUCGCACAACUCAAAGACGGAUACAUCAAAGGCGAUAGAACAAAGCACAUCCUACCAAAAUUCUUCUUCACACACGAUCUACAAAAGAGCGGCGAUGUACGAGUUCUACAGAUCCGUUCGAAUGAUAAUCUGUCUGACUUAUUCACCAAGGCGCUACCUACUGCUACUUUUAAGAAGUUAGUCUAUCGUAUCGGAUUACGCCGUCUCAAAGAUCUCGACGAAUAUACUCAUAAGGGGGAGUAAUUGUAUGUUGCACUCUUUUUCCCUUAACCAUGGUUUUUCCCAUUGGGUUUUCCUGGUAAGGUUUUUAAUGAGGCAGCAUUUCAAAUACUUUACGAAUUAUGAUACUAUAAUGGUCAUCAGGGGGAGUGUUAUGAAUAAAGAUGGAUGCCCAUUAUAAGGCCCAUCAUCUAAGCCCAUCAUCUAAAUGUUUCUAGGGUUUUACCCUUUCCUUGUACUCUUAUAUAAAGAACCCUUUAUCUCAAUGGAAUAUCACACUCAUUUCCUCUAUCUCUUUCUCUAUUUAUAACAUGUUUCCUUUUUUUUGUAU